GAAUGAUUCUUCAUUUUGGAUAUGAUUUUAUGUGCAUAAAUUCUCAAAAUUUGGCCUCAACAAAUCUAUAUACAAAGUCUAAUGAUGUGAAUAUAAUAGCAUAAUAUUCCCUACCGGACUUUGUAUAAAUAAUUCCGCAAACAUUUACAAUCACCACAACAGAAGCCAAAAGCUCCCAAACAUAAACAACAUUUACCAAAAUGAAGAAUCAUUCUACAAACACAUAUUACCAUAAAAACCCCAUACUUCAUUUUCUUCUCUUUUCUUUCUAGCCAAAGAAAGCUUGCAAAGUCCUCCCAAUUUUGCCACAACCAUCCAAAAUUUUGCUGCUCUAAUAACCCUAUAUAAAUAAUAAGGCAGCACCGUUGAGAUCUUUUUGGGCUUUUUUUAAAAUUAUUUUUAUUGACUUGUAGAGUAUCUUGAAUUCCAGUACUUCUCAAUUUCCUCUGCUGUUCUUCCAGGAAUUCUUCCAGCAAUUAGAGACCACCUCUCACCAACCAGAUUGUACAUCCUAGUAAUAAGGGUUUCUUCAUCUUCAGAGAAUUCAAGCUUAGAAUCUUGGCUGGAUUCCUCUCUAGAAUCAACAGAGACAUCAUCAC
rnacentral:misc_RNA from 1 species